AUUGAACGCUGGCGGCAUGCCUUACACAUGCAAGUCGAACGGUAACACGUCUUUGGUUGCUGACGAGUGGCUGACGGGUGAGUAAUUCACAGGAACGUGCCCGACCGUGGGGGUUAACGUGGCGACAGCUUUCCUAAUAUCGUAUACGAUCUACGGAUGUACGCGGUGGUUCUUCUGACCUCGCUUGGACGGAGCGGGCGAUGCCCGCGCCGGUAGUGGGUGGGAUAAAAGCAUACCCAGUCGACGAUCUGUAGCGGUUCGGAGAGGAUGAUCAGCCACACUGGGACUGAGACGCGGCCCAUAGUACUACGAGAGGCAGCAGUGGGGUAUUUUGGGCAAUGGUGGAAAGCCUUAUCCAGCCGUGCCGCGUGUAGUAUGAAGGCCUUCGGGUUGUAAAGUGGGUUUGUACGGAACGAAAAGCCUUUGUCUGUUAAGGAGGGUUCAUGACGGUACUGUAAAAAUAAGCACCGGCUAACUACGUG
rnacentral:rRNA from 1 species